rnacentral:rRNA from 1 species
CCUACGGGGGGCAGCAGUGAGGAAUAUUGGUCAAUGGACGAGAGUCUGAACCAGCCAAGUAGCGUGAAGGAUGACUGCCCUAUGGGUUGUAAACUUCUUUUAUAAAGGAAUAAAACGCGGCACGUGUGCCUCUUUGCAUGUACUUUAUGAAUAAGGAUCGGCUAACUCCGUGCCAGCAGCCGCGGUAAUACGGAGGAUCCGAGCGUUAUCCGGAUUUAUUGGGUUUAAAGGGAGCGUAGAUGGGUUGUUAAGUCAGUUGUGAAAGUUUGCGGCUCAACCGUAAAAUUGCAAUUGAUACUGGCAGUCUUGAGUACAGUUGAGGUAGGCGGAAUUCGUGGUGUAGCGGUGAAAUGCUUAGAUAUCACGAAGAACCCCGAUUGCGAAGGCAGCUUACUAAACUGUGACUGACAUUGAUGCUCGAAAGUGUGGGUAUCAAACAGGAUUAGAUACCCUUGUAGUC